UACGUAGGGCGCGAGCGUUGUCCGGAAUUAUUGGGCGUAAAGAGCUCGUAGGCGGUUUGUCACGUCUGCUGUGAAAUCCCGAGGCUCAACCUCGGGCCUGCAGUGGGUACGGGCAGACUGGAGUGCGGUAGGGGAGAAUGGAAUUCCUGGUGUAGCGGUGGAAUGCGCAGAUAUCAGGAAGAACACCCGUGGCGAAGGCGGCUCUCUGGUACGUGACUGACGCUGAGACGCGAAAGCGUGGGGAGCGAACAGG
rnacentral:rRNA from 1 species